ACUGAAAGCGUGUUUGGGGCUGGUAUCCUGGGACCUUCACGUGGUGGCCCUGUUUAAACCAAUCUUACCAGGAUGUGCUUCCAGAAGGGUUACAUCUACAAACAAGGUACAAGCUACCAUGGAUGAGAAGCUUACUGGAGAGAAGAGGGAAAGUAGCAAUGAACCAACGACUUCAGGGGAUCCAAUCGUCCAAUCCAAGUUAUUUUGUUAUUGCAGUUUACCCCCCCCCCCCCACUGGAGAUGAGAGGCUGUAGAGGAAUUUGUUGUGGUGACAAUGAAUCAUUCUAAUCAAAGUAUGGGCUCUGAGAAACACGCAGGAGACAAGAUCUGCCGCAGUCAUUGUUAGCAAGAACUACCAGUUUAAUAAGGUGGACCACACAGACAGCACGAUAGCCUUGCAGAGGAGAGCGUUUCUCACGAGUGGAUUUACAACUGACUGACCAAUCAACCUUCAUCAGAACUUUUUGAAGUAGUGGUGGUGGGAAAGUGGUGGGAAAGCUAGGUUUUCAGGGAGGUUGCUGACAGCCAGGUGAUGACCAGCAUCUUUCACCAGUAGUCUCCUGGUCUUCCACUGCAUCUCCAAUUUCUUGCCACCACAGACGGAUGUUUCAGUGAAGUAGUUUUGCUCCAACCUCUCUGCCAUCUGCCAUGCGAUGGGCGCUAGAGCACAUCCCGUUGAGGAAGUCGGUAGCUAGGGGUGGAGGAGCAAAGUUCAAGUUAACAACGCUGAUGUAUAAUGGUAGCUACUAGAGAUCCUGGAUGCUGACUCUGCCUAGGUUUUCACAAUACCUGGACCUCAAAGAUGAGCUGCUUUUGAUGCUGAAAUGCACUGACACGGCACUACUUUGUGACAUCACACAUCAGUCUUUGAUAAGACAGGACCUGAGUAACCUGAGUAAGUCAUCAGACGCCUGUUAUCAGAACCACAAGAAGAGGAACGCAUGUGUUUCAGGUUUUCCUGCUCUUACCAAGAAGACGUUGCUCUUGAUACUGGAAUGCCCUGAAACUGCACCACUUUGUGAUGACAUCAAACAUCAGAGAAACUACAUCCAAGGUGCCUUGGGCCUAUUUAGAAUGUACUAGGCUGUUAAAUGAGUAAAAAAGGUUAUAUGGGCAAUUCCAUGCUGGUGGAGACACAAGACCAAACAAUUAUUUCACGGUUUGUUCAAGUUUGAUUUGCUGAAGUGACACAAUA
rnacentral:lncRNA from 1 species